rnacentral:rRNA from 1 species
AGCGCAGUAGAGAGUCUUGUGCAAUAAACGAAAGUAUGACACAGAGAGGACACAUUUAAUUGAGCCCGUCAAAUUAAGUGCCAGCCGACGCGGUUAAACUUAAGGGCUGGUCUUUAUAAGUAAAAAGGCGUAAAGGAUGUGUAGGCCAAGAAACGACCCAAGUAGGUAAAUGGAAUUUUUCUGGAGCGGUAGAAUGUGAGGAUAGAAAAUAGAACCCCUAAGGUAAAAACUAUUUACCACAAGGUAGGCUGAAACAUGAGAGUGUGGGGAGCAAACAGGAUUAGAGACCCUGGUAGUCCACACUGUGAACUUUGAAGAUGAUGCUUAGCAGACCCGAAAGGUAAAAUCUUCCGCCUGAGUAGUACGAUCGCAAGAUUAAAACUCAAAAACUUUGGCUGUUCACUAUUUCGAUUAGAGGAGCGUGUAGUUUAAUUCGAUGRUCCGCGUGUUACCUUACCCCAACUUGAAUCUGUGACCGGUAUUGCAUGGCCGUCGUAAGUUCGUGUAUUAAGCUAGAAGGGACCCAACCCGGGCAUUUGCCCGGAGGAAGUCAGGUCUUAUGAUCCGAAUGUUGGGGGAUUUUAUGCGCUACAUUUUCUUAUAUAAUGAGAAACCUGAAAGGUGAGUCUCUAAAGUAAGAGUUCGGAAGGUCGCUGUAAGACGACUGGAAGUUGGAUUUAAUAGUAAUCGGAAAGUAGGGCGUUCCGGUGAAUUGGUACAAGUGUUAGCACAAAUUGCCCGUCACCUUUACUUAGAAUGGUUAUUCGGACGUCUUCGGUGAUUACGAAUGC